AGGUGCUUAAAAAGAUAUCGGCCUACAUCCAGGAGCAGAAUGAGAAGAUCUACGCGCCCAGAGGUCUCCUCCUUACAGACCCCAUAGAGAGAGGCAUGAGGGUCCUAGAGAUCAGUGUGUUUGAGGACCAAGGUUCAGGCAGCUCCAGUCCCAGCAGCAGCAUGUCAUCAGCAGGAAGCAGUGCCCGAUGACUGGAGGUGCAGCGCCAGG